rnacentral:rRNA from 1 species
CUAACAAGGAUUCCCCUAGUAACGGCGAGUGAACCGGGAAGAGCUCAAAUUUGAAAUCUGGCGUGCUCAGUGCGUCCGAGUUGUAAUCUAUAGAGUCGUUUUCCGUGCCGGACUGUGUCCAAGUCCCUUGGAACAGGGUAUCAAAGAGGGUGAUAAUCCCGUACUUGACACAAUGACCGGUGCUCUGUGAUACGUCUUCUACGAGUCGAGUUGUUUGGGAAUGCAGCUCAAAAUGGGUGGUGAGUUCCAUCUAAAGCUAAAUAUUGGCGAGAGACCGAUAGCGAACAAGUACCGUGAGGGAAAGAUGAAAAGCACUUUGGAAAGAGAGUUAAACAGUACGUGAAAUUGUUAAAAGGGAAACGAUUGAAGUCAGUCGUGACUGAGAGGCUCAGCCGGUUCUGCCGGUGUAUUCCCCUCAGUCGGGUCAACAUCAGUUUUGUUCGGUGGAUAAGGGCAGUUGGAAGGUGGCACCCUCGGGUGUGUUAUAGCCAGCUGUCGCAUACAUCGGAUGAGACUGAGGAAUGCAGCUCGCCUUUAUGGCCGGGGUUCGCCCACGUUCGAGCUUAGGAUGUUGACAUAAUGGCUUUAAACG